CACGCCCUAAACGAUGUCAACUAGUCGUUCGGAGCAGCAAUGCACUGAGUGACGCAGCUAACGCGUGAAGUUGACCGCCUGGGGAGUACGGCCGCAAGGUUAAAACUCAAAGGAAUUGACGGGGACCCGCACAAGCGGUGGAUGAUGUGGAUUAAUUCGAUGCAACGCGAAAAACCUUACCUACCCUUGACAUGUCUGGAACCUUGGUGAGAGCCGAGGGUGCCUUCGGGAACCAGAACACAGGUGC
rnacentral:rRNA from 1 species